rnacentral:rRNA from 1 species
UACAGAGGUCCCAAGCGUUGUUCGGAUUCACUGGGCGUAAAGGGUGCGUAGGCGGUCGGGUAAGUCUGACGUGAAAUCUUCAAGCUCAACUUGGAAACUGCGUCCGAUACUAUUCGGCUAGAGGAAUGGAGGGGAGACUGGAAUACUUGGUGUAGCAGUGAAAUGCGUAGAUAUCAAGUGGAACACCAGUGGCGAAGGCGAGUCUCUGGACAUUAACUGACGCUGAGGAGCGAAAGCAUGGGGAGCGAACAGG